CGAGAUCAGAAAUCCUCAGUGGCUGGACUUGCAUCUGCACCAUGAGAAACAGAUGUCUAAGAGUGCUGCCAGAACUGUCAGUGCUGCUGUUGUUGCCAUUGGUUUCUGCAGCCCAGAAGGAUAGGGCCUGUAUUCGAUGGUGCCCUCCGAACCCUCCAUGUGUCAAUGCCCGCUCCUGUCACUGCGCACAGGGA